AACGAACGCUGGCGGCAGGCCUAACACAUGCAAGUCGAGCGGACCCUUCGGGGUUAGCGGCGGACGGGUGAGUAACGCGUGGGAAUAUGCCCUUCUCUACGGAAUAGUCCUGGGAAACUGGGGGUAAUACCGUAUACGCCCUUUGGGGGAAAGAUUUAUCGGGGAAGGAUUAGCCCGCGUUGGAUUAGGUAGUUGGUGGGGUAAUGGCCUACCAAGCCGACGAUCCAUAGCUGGUUUGAGAGGAUGAUCAGCCACACUGGGACUGAGACACGGCCCAGACUCCUACGGGAGGCAGCAGUGAGGAAUCUUAGACAAUGGGGGCAACCCUGAUCUAGCCAUGCCGCGUGAGUGAUGAAGGCCUUAGGGUUGUAAAGCUCUUUCAGCUGGGAAGAUAAUGACGGUACCAGCAGAAGAAGCCCCGGCUAACUCCGUG
rnacentral:rRNA from 1 species